CUAAUACCGGGCCGGCGGCGGCGGUACGACGGAGGAUCCAAGCGGUAUCCGGAAGCAUUGGUUUUAAAUGGUCCGUAGGCGGCCUUAUAAGUCAGUGGUGAAAUCUCCUAGCUCAACUAGGAAACUGCCAUUGAUACUGUAGGGCUUGAAUUUUUGUGAAGUAACUAGAAUAUGUAGUGUAGCGGUGAAAUACUUAGAUAUUACAUGGAAUACCAAUUGCGAAGGCAGGUUACUAACAAACGAUUGACGCUGAUGGACGAAAGCGUGGGGAGCGAACAGGAUUAGAUACCCUGGUAGUCC
rnacentral:rRNA from 1 species